UACGGGGGGGGUAAGCGUUGUUCGGAAUUACUGGGCGUAAAGCGCGUGUAGGCGGUUGUCCAAGUUGGAUGUGAAAGCCUUGAGCUUAACUCAAGAAAUGCAUUCAGGACUGGAUGACUAGAGGACCGGAGAGGAUAGUGGAAUUCCCAGUGUAGUGGUGAAAUACGUAGAGAUUGGGAAGAACACCAGUGGCGAAGGCGGCUAUCUGGACGGUUUCUGACGCUAAGACGCGAAAGCGUGGGGAGCAAACAGG
rnacentral:rRNA from 1 species